UUUUGUACGGAACGAAACGGCCUUUUCUAAUAAAGAGGGCUAAUGACGGUACCGUAAGAAUAAGCACCGGCUAACUACGUGCCAGCAGCCGCGGUAAUACGUAGGGUGCAAGCGUUAAUCGGAAUUACUGGGCGUAAAGCGUGCGCAGGCGGUUAUGUAAGACAGUUGUGAAAUCCCCGGGCUCAACCUGGGAACUGCAUCUGUGACUGCAUAGCUAGAGUACGGUAGAGGGGGAUGGAAUUCCGCGUGUAGCAGUGAAAUGCGUAGAUAUGCGGAGGAACNCNCGAUGGUAAAGGCAAUCCCCUGGACCUGUACUGACGCUCAUGCACGAAAGCGUG
rnacentral:rRNA from 1 species